CAGUCGCCGCGGUAAUACGUAGGGUGCAAGCGUUAAUCGGAAUUACCGGGCGUAAAGCGUGCGCAGGCGGUUUGUUAAGACAGAUGUGAAAUCCCCGGGCUCAACCUGGGAACUGCAUUUGUGACUGGCAAGCUAGAGUCUGGCAGAGGGGGGUGGAAUUCCGCGUGUAGCAGUGAAAUGCGUAGAUAUGCGGAGGAACACCGAUGGCGAAGGCAGCCCCCUGGGCCAACACUGACGCUCAUGCACGAAAGCGUGGGGAGCAAACAGGAUUAGAUACCCGUGUAGUCCCUGUCUCUUAUAC
rnacentral:rRNA from 1 species